AAGUACAAAGAAAACUGCUUUUGGCCCCAGCUGACUGAAAAAAAAAAAUUUAUAUAUAUAUAUGACAGAGGCAAACCAAAGGCAAUACAAGUUACAGGACUUAGAUUACAUUUACAAAGCUUAACUGUCCAGUGAAAUUCAACAGUCUGCCUUUGCGACCCUGGAGCCGGCGUGGUUUGAGGACGCUGAAGAAGCCACAGGCAGCCGGCCUGGACUGGAAUCUCUGAAAAAGAUGCCCCAGGAGACCCCAGAGUGUAAAAGAACAGCCCUCCCAAGAGUGGAAGCAAGGUAAAGAAGCGCUACCCAAAGACCCUAGCAGCCCUGCCACUCCUUGAAACCAGGAGACUGGAUCUAUGUAAAGGUCCAUCAGCGACAGACUGCCCUGGCUCCACACUGGAAGGGCCCUUUCCAAGUCCUGUUAACCACCAACACUGCUGUGAAGUGCCAAGGACUACCUGCCUGAUUUAUUUAAAUAUUGUUUGAAAAAAAAAUUUUUAAGGUUCAGGAUAUCCCAUAUAAGCAAACAAUUGAGUGGAAAAAGACUGGUCAGAGGAGAGAAAAGUAUGAUAUCACUACAAAUGAACCCCAAGAAUCUGUAAUUUAAAUUGAUUGGUUCUAUAGUGAAAUAGAUAUGAUGGCUGUCCCUGGAGUUUGCAAUGUGUUAGAUGAAAGAGGCCCUUAUUGUUAUUUGGUCACCCAAUUAGUGAAUAAUUAAACGAAUACUCAAAGAGUUUGUUCUGCCACAGGAAAUUUUACCUGUAUUAAAAUUAUUCCAGUGACAGAUAAUGUAACCUGUACUCUAUUGCAAUAUACCCCCCCCCCAUUCCAUUAAUAUUAAUGCCUCCCGGAAGUAUAUAAAGGGUGUACAACCAAGUGAAGAUCACUGAGGCUAGGAAGGUAUUGCAAUGGGAUUUGGCAUGUUCAGAAUUCAAGAUUUCCUGAAUGACCAGCUAUAACAAGGUUGGGACUCACCACCACAGCACCUCCCACUGGUUACUUCAGGAAUUAGCUCAGUCCAGUGGAGCAUCCUCUCUCAGUAGUAUCCCGCCCAUUGUCUUGCUCUCAGUUGGCUUCUGAGCCCAUAUCACUCACCAACUCACAGCGUCCUCUUCAGGACCACUGCCCCUCAGUCCAUCCACACCCCUUUCCAGGGGCAGGGGGAAGUGAGUUAAUCAGCAGUCUCUCUAUACCCCAGCCACCAUGUACAACCACACACCCCAAAGUCUAAUCCCUCUUGUCAGGGAUCUGGCAUAGUCUAUGAUGGCCGCUCCCUACAGCCAAUGGCUGGGUGUACUGCAAGGGGGGGGACCCAAGCCCACCCUCUACUCUGGGUCCCAGCUCAGGGACCCUCUGGCAGCAGUCUUACUGUCCUCUUUCUCUCCCCUCAUCUGGCCGCUUCCCUGGGCCGCUUCCCCUACAGCCCCUUGCACCCGCUAGGCCCUUCUAUUCAGGGCUGGCAGGUAUCAGGCUGAAGCUCCACUCUGCUUCCCUGAGCCUGCGCUGCGCUGUCCUGGGUGCUGGUCUCCUGCUCAGGAGACAGACCUUCCCCUGUCAAAGGCCUGGAACAGACUGACUCUCUGCUCCCUGAGCAGCCUUCUUAUAGGGCUGAGCCGGGCACUGAUUGGCUGCCUCCAAUCUGGGCCCUGAUUGGCUCUCAAUAAGCUCUUCUCCCAUUGGCUGUGCAUCUGUGCAGGCCCACUGGCCUGCAGCAGCCCAUACUCUCAGGUGUGGGGCAGCCGCCCCACUACACCAGCUGAUGGCCAUUCGGAGUGAUCUCGAGCAUGAGGCAUAGCCUACCGCCCUUACAGAUACCUCAGGAAUGCCAUCUGAUUUGUGGCCAUGGAAACAUACUUGGAGAUUUUCAGGAUGGAGUUGUAUAUACUCACAGUACUCCUCCCAAGCAUAUGGGCCGGUAGGAGGGCUGUGGGCUCCCACAUACCGAACCCUGCCGGGUCUAUGGGGAGGAAGCAUGUGGGACUGGAUUAUUCACCGUGAUAUCUGGGAGAUUAGACCACCUGGUAUACCAAGCCGAUUUGUUGCUAGUGCUCCUGGAAUAACACCCGACAUUUGGAUGGGGAUAGGGAGUCAAUGGACAUUUUGGCUGUUAGAACCCCCACAGCUUCAGUUUAUACGUAAACUGAAGCCAGGAGAAGUUGUCACUGUUCAUCGCUACGUUUGCUGGGAGGGUAUGGGACAAGGAACUACCCUGACAGGACACCCACUUUUUCAAGCUAAUGAUAGCUGUGUGUAUGUUAAAACCACCAUGUUGCGAGAUAUACAUAUUAAUCAAGAAUCUCUGAAUUACAAGGGCAAAUUCAUAUGCUUUAAAAUAUAUAUCAAGUUGAAAAGAAUGCCUUUCAUACAGCUUAUAGAGUGUUACUUUAUGUACUAAGUAUGAUGUAUUGUGCUUUGUGACUAAAACUGUACAACAACCCCAUCAUAUUAUUACUGUGGGAAUGUUACUGCUUUUAUUGUUAUUUGGUUUAGGAUUAUAUUAUUGUUGUUGUAAAGGAAGUGAUAAUAGUAACACCUUUCAUGCCCAUGCUAAUGAUGCAUUGUCAUUGCAUCCAAUCAAAACCCCUAAGGUUGAAGCAUUUGAUGUAGAAUCUGAAAUCCAAGGCUUAAUGCAAAUGGAGGUUUAAGGAUAUUAGUUGUACUAGAAGUACAAAAGGUGUGUGUGUGGAAGUAGAGCAAGAACUGACAGGGAUUUGAUGGGGAUUUCAAUGCAAACAGUCUCUUCUGUGAGCAAGAGUCAGGCUAGCUGUAACCCUAAUAACGCGAGAUUUGUAGAAGCGAGGAUUGUGUGAGGCGAAUGGGAAAGAACUGUGUGAGAAGUUGUUGCGACCUUGUGUAGAUAAAUAUGGAAUGUAGACUAGCGUCUAAAUAGAUGUGAAAAAUAAGAUAUCAGGAUGACCUAUGUAUAAACAAAAUGCAGCUGUUGCUCAUUAUUGUAUGUAACAAAAGGUAUAAACAGGGCCGGCUCCAGGCACCAGCGCAGCAAGCAGGUGCUUGGGGCGGCCAACAGAAAGGGGCGGCACGUCCGGCUCUUCGGUGGCAAUUCUGCAGAAGAACGAAGUGGUGCGGUGGAGCCACCAAAGUGGCGCCGAUCAGUGUUUCUGCCACCCCGCCCUCCCUCCGGCCGCUUGGGGCGGCAGAAACACUGGAGCCGGCCCUGGGUAUAAAUGCUUGCUGUGAUUGUUUACCUGUAGAGAGACUUGUUUAGCUCUCUCCCUCUAUGCAAUUGCUUGAGAGUAAAGUAUCUGACUUUGCUGCACCCAACCAAAGGAGUGAGAACUCUGUUUUUCUCCGACACUAGCUAGCAAGGCUAAAAAAAAGGCAACCAAAAAAGCAAAAGAAACAACAACAAAAGACAAGAACAUGCAAAGCACCUUAUUUGUUUCUAUUCUGUUUAGGUCCAGUAAAGAAUAGAAACAACUGUACAUUAUUUUUAUUAUUGAGUCUGCAAAAAAACCAAACCUCUACAUAAAUAAAUGACAAUGAUUUGGA